rnacentral:rRNA from 1 species
CUAGCCGUAAACGAUGGACACUAGGUGUUGGGAGCAUCGACCCUCCCAGUGCUGUUAUGCUAACGCGUUAAGUGUCCCGCCUGGGGAGUACGGCCGCAAGGUUGAAACUCAAAGGAAUUG